rnacentral:rRNA from 1 species
UAGGGAAUCUUCGGCAAUGGACGAAAGUCUGACCGAGCAACGCCGCGUGAGUGAAGAAGGUUUUCGGAUCGUAAAACUCUGUUGGUAGAGAAGAACGUUGGUGAGAGUGGAAAGCUCAUCAAGUGACGGUAACUACCCAGAAAGGGACGGCUAACUACGUGCCAGCAGCCGCGGUAAUACGUAGGUCCCGAGCGUUGUCCGGAUUUAUUGGGCGUAAAGCGAGCGCAGGUGGUUUAUUAAGUCUGGUGUAAAAGGGCAGUGGCUCAACCAUUGUAUGCAUUGGAAACUGGUAGACUUGAGUGCAGGAGAGGAGAGUGGAAUUCCAUGUGUAGCGGUGAAAUGCGUAGAUAUAUGGAGGAACACCGGUGGCGAAAGCGGCUCUCUGGCCUGUAACUGACACUGAGGCUCGAAAGCGUGGGGAGCAAACAGGAUUAGAUACCC